GUUUCGCUUUGGGCGGGCUCGACGCGCAACAUACCAUUAGAAAAAUACAUCCUGAGUGGAAGUGUUUGACAUGAGGAUAGAGGCAACUGUCAGUCUGAGAUAUCAAUAGAUUCACGAAGACGGAUAACUGUACAAAAAUGUCAACAAAGGACGUAUUUGUCAGAUGCCGAAUCUGAUUUUGGGUAUUGUCGCGGCUGUCCAUUUCCAAACGGAAACCACAGCUAGCUUCUGUACUGGACAGCAAGCACCCGCUAGCUAGUUAGCUUAUUCUCGAUUCCAGGACACGUCUCUUCAUUUAAAAUACAAAACUGAAUGUUGUUUCAGUCAUGAGUCCAGCCGGGUGCUCACAUGUGAACGCUUAUAAGGUGGACAAUUGGAGGCAAAACCUACGAGUCAUAUAUCAAUGCUUUGUUUGGAGCGGGAGUGCUGAAGCCAGGAGACGAAAGGUGCUUCAGAAUGAUGUGAGAUGGACAGCAUUGGCCAAAUCAUGUAUCUGUCACAUGUGUGGCGCCCACCUGAACCGGCUCCACUCCUGUCUCUCCUGCGUCUUCUUCGGCUGCUUCACAAAGAAACACAUCCACGAGCACGCCAAAAACAAACGACACA